CCUACGGGUGGCUGCAGUGAGGAAUAUUGGUCAAUGGCCGUAAGGCUGAACCAGCCAAGUAGCGUGAGGGAAGACUGCCCUAUGGGUUGUAAACUUCUUUUAUGCGGGGAUAAAGGUGUCCACGUGUGGAUGUUUGCAUGUACCGCAUGAAUAAGGAUCGGCUAAUUCCGUGCCAGCAGCCGCGGUAAUACGGAGGGUCCGGGCGUUAUCCGGAUUUAUUGGGUUUAAAGGGAGCGUAGGCCGGUGGUUAAGCGUGCCGUGAAAUUUUGUGGCUCAACCGUGAGAGUGCGGCGGGAACUGGAAGCCUUGAGUACGCGAGAGGCAGGCGGAAGUCGUGGUGUAGCGGUGAAAUGCUUAGAUAUCACGAAGAACCCCGAUUGCGAAGGCAGCCUGCCGAAGCGUUACUGACGCUGAGGCUCGAAAGCGCGGGUAUCAAACAGGAUUAGAUACCCCAGUAGUC
rnacentral:rRNA from 1 species